GAGCAACCAGCCCACUGUGAGGUCCAAAAUGGCGUGGAAAUUUGGACUUCUUUGUUUAUUUGUGACCGUCGUCUUCGGUCAGGAUGACUACGGACGCAGUGGCAAAGAUCUACAAACAAAAUUGAUUUACUAUUGUAUAGG